AUCCCGACAAACUUCCUGUGACAAUCACGCAGCAAGGGGUAUGACCGUGGAGGUCACCGGGGAAGAAUCAUGGGUUUGAUGUUGACCAUAUUUAUUUACUGGACUCUAAGUGCAGGUGUGUGGAGUGUCCAUCAGUUCCAGUGGCUGCCCUGCUCCUUCAUUGAUGAGCGUGUGUUUUUGAACAAGGACAACCACACAGAGACUCGGCUCAUCCACAGAGAGGCUAUACUUCAGUUUGGUCAAAAAGGAGAUGCUCCUGUUAACCGAAACGCCAUUACUUUCCUCAUCACCAGAUCAAAGUUGGAUCUGCUGCAGUAUGUGGAGGGGGUGGAGGCAGAGCAGCUGAAGUGUGAGCUGCACAGAUACAGCACAGAGGGCGGUUAUGUCCGCUGGCCUGUCCUCGGUGCCCGGGAGUACAACCACUGGUUUACCUGCAUCCUCAGACACAGCAGGGGCCUCUUCACCAUCACCAGCUUCCUCAGGCGCCCCUUCGACCAGCCUCCCCCAGGACGGCCAGACUACCAGAAAUGGCCCCCCAUCCCUAACAGAGAGGUGCUCACGACCACAGUUGCCAUGGUCAUCAAAACACAGACUCCCUCAGUUAAAGCACGCCUGAAGUUCCAGCAAAAGCUCCACUGCCAGUUUGAUGUCGACCACAAGGGUGCAAAGGUCACUGUGGAGUGGCACAAGCAGCACCACGGUGAGAGGACCAAGCUCUUCAGUUACAACAGGCGCACAGAACAGACCCAGGGAAGUGGUGUUGGACUACGUGCCUUUGCAGCCGGAGAUGCCUCCUACACCCUCGCCUCCACCAUGAUAAGCAGUGAAGGGACCUACAUUUGUUCAGUGUCCGUGAAUCCACUAUUCGCCAGGGUGGAUAUAAAUCUGCAGAUUGAAGAGCCUCCCCAUGUCUCCCUCAAUGUGGGACCCAGUCUCUCACUAAUGGAGGGUAACAAGAGGAAGAUUGUGUGUGAGGCAAACAGCUACUACCCUCGGGAUGUGGAGAUAAUUUGGCACGAGCAGGAUCCAGUCGUGUUGGGCGCUCCACAUCCCAGGUCACUGGAGAAUGUCAUCCUUUCCUACCACAGAGAAAAUCGGGACAUGACCUUCUCGUUGUCGGGCUUCUUCUACCUCCAGGCUGCGCUCAGGGACUCUGGGAAAAAGUUCACAUGCAGCGUCUCCCAUCAGUCCCUGAAAGUACCCAUCACAAAGAGCUUCACCCUAAUUGUGGAAGAGCCAACAAACUGGAUGUUGUACCUCGCUGUGGGCUCUGUUAUGAUCCUGCUGUUGUAUGUGAAGCGGAGCUACCUGCACUCAGCAUGGAGAAAGUUAGCAGGUAAGGUGAUAUAAAAACAAACAAACUGGAGGACUGGGAACGGAGCGAGAGGAUGUGGCCCCAUUCUCAACACACAAGGCAAGCUGGCAAACUUUCCUUUCUGGGGUCCCCAUGGAAACAUCAGUGAAAGGAUCUGGCGGACUGAGUCCUGACGCUGUGGGAAGCCAGCACCGAAAUCUGUGCACAGCCCUCUUAAGAAUUCGGGUCCGGACCGGUGUUUAUAGUCUGGUCCGCGGCGGUGGGAUUCAGUCUGACGAUCCGAACCACCAGUGAGAUGUCUGAGGAGAAGUUACGUUGUGCAAGCACAGCAGGAAAUCUGCACGCUGUGCAAGCUCAGCAGGACGCAAUCACGCAGCACAGUUGUAUCUUAUCUCUUCCUGUAUGUUUCUGAGACGCAAUCACGCAGCACAGUUGUAUCUUAUCUCUUCCUGUAUGUUUCUGAGACGCAAUCAUGCUUGAGUAUAAAUAAAGGCUGACAACUGCUCCAGGGGUGUGAGUCUCCUUCGAGCUCUCACCCGUGUGCACGUUAAUUUGUAAAACCUGUCUGAGUGUCAUUUAUUCCAACCUGAGUUGAAUUACAGGAAAACUCCUAACAUUUCUUGGUCCUUCGAGCCGGAUUUGGGACAUAACACUUUUGUGUGAUCCCACGGGAAAACCUCAUCGAGUCCUGACGUCGUGAGAAGCCCACGCUGAAGUCUGUCGACAGCUCCUGUCCAGGUACAGGAUAAAAGUCCAGAGACGUUGAAAUUCGGGUUCUGGCCAGCGUUCUUAACAAAGUGGUCCACGACGGUGGGGCUCGAUGAGGAGGACCUGACAACCCGGAAAUAACUCAACAAGCAGGUGAAUAAAUGACACUCUGAGACACGUUGCGUAAAACCGUGUAAAAGCUCGCCCAGAGAGGGGCUGGUAGCAUGUAAAAGCUCGCCUGAAGAAGGCUGGUAGCAUUUUAAAAUAAAAUAGAGCUCGUCUGAAAUAGGACUGGUAGCUCCCCUGUAGUGGGUAAAGUUAGCGCGCGCAUAAAGGUAUUUAUUGUUUUAUUUUUGUGUUGAUGGAAUAAGUUGAUUUUACAGUACAAUAAGGAGGCUGAACUAUUCCACUAAUUUGUUUACUGUUGGCCACCCAAGUACUGGUGAAGAGAGAAA